GGGUUAAGUCCCAUAACGAGCGCAACCCUUAUCGUUAGUUGCCAUCUGGUAAAGCAGGGGACUCUAGCGAAACUGCCACCGUAAGGUGAGAGGAAGUGGGGAUGACGUCAAAUCAGCACGGCCCUUAUGUCCAGGGCUACACACGUGUUACAAUGGUCGGUACAGGGGGCAGCUACCUGGUGACAGGAUGCUAAUCUCGAAAACCGGCCUCAGUUCGGAUCGAAGUCUGCAACUCGACUUCGUGAAGCUGGAUUCGCUAGUAAUCGCGCAUCAGCCAUGGCGCGGUGAAUACGUUCCCGGGCCUU
rnacentral:rRNA from 1 species